GUGGAUAUGAUGAUCCUUUCCCUAGAUGAUCGACAAUGAACGUACUGAGCGCUAUAAUUUCUCUUCUGAAAAACCAAGCUAGGACUCUGAUCCCGC